rnacentral:rRNA from 1 species
AAGGGAACGCGCUCGGCUAGCAAUGUGUCACGACUGUUCAGCCGGUUUGGUGGUGGAGGUCGUCGCUGUCGGAUCCGAACGGACCGCGGUGGCGAUCGUCUGCCGUCGAACUGCGUGCACUCUGUCGUGACACGCGUCAGCGUCGGUUCGCAGUUCAGGCGAUAAGGCACGGAGGGAAGGUAGCUCGGGGCUUGCCCUGAGCAUUAUAGCCGCCUGUGCUGGGUCUGGUGCGGACCGAGGAGAGAGAGGAUCGCUGCAGUGCAUGCCGCAAGGCUAGCUGCCCGUUGUCAGGUUCGUUUCACAGGCUGAGGACUGCACGCAGUGUUCGGCUUGGCGGAGCGGCCGGGUGAUGGAGCGGUAUAAAUGCACUUAGGACGCUGGCGUCCAAAUGGCCGUGCGCGACCCGUCUUGAAACACGGAA